UUUGAUGGCGACCGGCGCACGGGUGAGUAACACGUAUCCAACCUGCCGAUGACUCGGGGAUAGCCUUUCGAAAGAAAGAUUAAUACCCGAUGGCAUAGUUCUUCCGCAUGGUGGAACUAUUAAAGAAUUUCGGUCAUCGAUGGGGAUGCGUUCCAUUAGGUUGUUGGCGGGGUAACGGCCCACCAAGCCUUCGAUGGAUAGGGGUUCUGAGAGGAGGGUCCCCCACAUUGGAACUGAGACACGGUCCAAACUCCUACGGGAGGCAGCAUG
rnacentral:rRNA from 1 species